GACUGGCCAAUGAAAUUGAUCCUUCAGUACAAAAGCUGAAAUUAACCCAUAAGACGAGAAGACCCUGUGGAGCUUCAAAACCAAAACCACCAAACAUGCUUCCUGGUUUUUUAGUUGGGGCGACUUUGGAGCAAAAAAAACCCUCCAAAACAUAAAUCCAUUUAUUAAGACUAACACAUCAAAAAUAAUAUUAUAGACCCAGCAGUACCUAUUUACUGCCUGACCAAUGAACCAAGUUACCCCAGGGAUAACAGCGCCAUCCUCUUCUAGAGUCCCUAUCGACAAGAGGGUUUACGACCUCGAUGUUGGAUCAG
rnacentral:rRNA from 1 species